rnacentral:rRNA from 1 species
GAUGAACGCUAGCGGCAGGCUUAAUACAUGCAAGUCGAGGGGCAGCAGGAAUAGCAAUAUUUGCUGGCGACCGGCGCACGGGUGCGUAACACGUAUACAAUCUGCCUUUAACAGGGGGAUAGCCCGGAGAAAUCCGGAUUAAUACCCCAUAACAGUUUUCUCGGCAUCGGGAAGAUUUGAAAGCUCCGGCGGUUAAAGAUGAGUAUGCGCCUGAUUAGCUAGUUGGUGAGGUAACGGCUCACCAAGGCGACGAUCAGUAGGGGAUCUGAGAGGAUUAACCCCCCANACGGAUACUGAGACACGGAUCCGACUCCUACGGGAGGCAGCAGUAAGGAAUAUUGGACAAUGCCCGCAAGGGUGAUCCCAGCCAUGCCGCGUGCAGGAAGACGGCCCUAUGGGUUGUAAACUGCUUUUACACCGGNGAAAACCCCCCUACGUGUAGGGGGCUGAUAGUAUGGUGAGAAUAAGCAUCGGCUAACUUCGUGCCAGCAGCCGCGGUAAAGUAC